rnacentral:misc_RNA from 1 species
CGAGUGGCGAAAUUCUUCCACCCUCCGUCAAGUUUAUCCGUCGGCGAACAACGAACCAUCACGCGAGCAACGACGUCUUAUAGACUCCGGCGACCCAUCUUUCCGCAACCUCACCCACGAAUCGGACUUGCAACACGAGACCCACUUCGAACAAGCUUUACAGCAGCGUUCCUCACUUGUUCGACGAGCUUUGGCAUUGACCCGCACUCCGGUUGGCUUCAAAUUAGUGUACCCAUAACGUUUAAGG